rnacentral:tRNA from 1 species
UGGGGUAUGGUGUAAUUGGCAGCACGACUGAUUCUGGUUCAGUUAGUCUAGGUUCAUGCCCAGGCACAUCGA